UGGCGAGUCGUGACUGCUAAAGUGAGUAAUGCGCGUCGGCUGCGUCAGUAGGGGCAAAGCGCUGGGUGCCGGAGACAGAUGGAGGGAAUCGUGACUGACUGGAGACUUCCACAAAUGAAACCACAACCUCAUCAUGUCUCCACGAGAGCGCUAUCUGUUAAGAUUAGACUUAAAUGUUAGGGUCUCGCUGUUCUCCCCCUGUCACUCUCAGUCCUGACCUUGGGAUCCGGAGGCAAUUCUACACAUUCAGAGAAAAGCGAGUGUAGGGCUCUGUGGUUAGAGAGGAGUUGAUGUGUGCGUGUGUGCUCGUGAGGACGAGGUUAUUUUAUGGUUGUGCGUGCGUGCGUGCGUGUGCGCGAGAGAUGUGUGGGGUAUCCAAAUAUAGCCAGACUCAGGGAAUGAUGUUCAUUAUUUUAUGAGCCAAGGAAAGGAGGAAGCUUUGGUGACUACAGACCUAGUACACAAGGAUCUUGAGGAACUUGUGGUUAUUCCAGCCCCAAGGUCUGAGCUAAAACAGAAAGAA